rnacentral:snRNA from 1 species
UGAAAUGACUUGAGAGGU